GACCGCAAUGAUGACUCUCUAAAAACCUGUAAUGAUUUUUUCAGCAAUGAUCACAUAUUUUAUAGGACAUCCAAGGGGCUGAGUUGCU